CCUACGGGCGGCAGCAGUGAGGAAUAUUGGUCAAUGGGCGAGAGCCUGAACCAGCCAAGUCGCGUGAGGGAAGACGGUCCUCUGGAUUGUAAACCUCUUUUGCCGGGGAGCAAAAAGCGGUACGUGUACCGCAUCGAGAGUACCCGGAGAAAAAGCAUCGGCUAACACCGUGCCAGCAGCCGCGGUAAUAGGGAGGAUGCGAGCGUUAUCCGGAUUUAUUGGGUUUAAAGGGUGCGCAGGCGGCGAGUUAAGUCAGCGGUAAAAUUUCGGGGCUAAACCCCGACGAGCCGUUGAAACUGGCUGGCUAGAGUGGGCAAGAAGUAUGCGGAAUGCGUGGUGUAGCGGUGAAAUGCGUAGAUAUCACGCAGAACUCCGAUGGCGAAGGCAGCAUACCGGCGCCCAACUGACGCUCAGGCACGAAAGCGUGGGUAGCGAACAGGAUUAGAUACCCGAGUAGUC
rnacentral:rRNA from 1 species